rnacentral:rRNA from 1 species
AGCAGUCGCCACGGUAACACGAAGGGGGCUAGCGUUGCUCGGAAUGACUGGGCGUAAAGGGCGCGUAGGCGGAUUGCGCAGUCAGAUGUGAAAUUCCUGGGCUUAACCUGGGGGCUGCAUUUGAGACGCGUAGUCUAGAGUGUGAAAGAGGGUCGUGGAAUUCCCAGUGUAGAGGUGAAAUUCGUAGAUAUUGGGAAGAACACCGGUGGCGAAGGCGGCGACCUGGUUCAUAACUGACGCUGAGGCGCGAAAGCGUGGGGAGCAAACAGGAUUAGAUACCCGCGUAGUCCCUGUCUCUUAUAC